rnacentral:rRNA from 1 species
UGCCAUAUCAAAUAAGCUGAGGAAAAGAAACCAACCGGGAUUGCCUUAGUAACGGCGAGUGAAGCGGCAAAAGCUCAAAUUUGAAAUCUGGUACCUUCGGUGCCCGAGUUGUAAUUUGGAGAGGGCAACUUUGGGGCCGUUCCUUGUCUAUGUUCCUUGGAACAGGACGUCAUAGAGGGUGAGAAUCCCGUGUGGCGAGGAGUGCGGUUCUUUGUAAAGUGCCUUCGAAGAGUCGAGUUGUUUGGGAAUGCAGCUCUAAGUGGGUGGUAAAUUCCAUCUAAAGCUAAAUAUUGGCGAGAGACCGAUAGCGAACAAGUACAGUGAUGGAAAGAUGAAAAGAACUUUGAAAAGAGAGUGAAAAAGUACGUGAAAUUGUUGAAAGGGAAGGGCAUUUGAUCAGACAUGGUGUUUUGUGCCCUCUGCUCCUUGUGGGUAGGGGAAUCUCGCAUUUCACUGGGCCAGCAUCAGUUUUGGUGGCAGGAUAAAUCCAUAGGAAUGUAGCUUGCCUCGGUAAGUAUUAUAGCCUGUGGGAAUACUGCCAGCUGGGACUGAGGACUGCGACGUAAGUCAACUGCAUAUGCAUAGUCGAGAAGCGU